rnacentral:rRNA from 1 species
UGGGGAAUAUUGGACAAUGGGCGAAAGCCUGAUCCAGCCAUGCCGCGUGUGUGAAGAAGGUCUUCGGAUUGUAAAGCACUUUAAGUUGGGAGGAAGGGCAUUAACCUAAUACGUUAGUGUUUUGACGUUACCGACAGAAUAAGCAUCGGCUAACUCUGUGCCAGCAGCCGCGGUAAUACAGAGGGUGCAAGCGUUAAUCGGAAUUACUGGGCGUAAAGCGCGCGUAGGUGGUUUGUUAAGUUGGAUGUGAAAUCCCCGGGCUCAACCUGGGAACUGCAUUCAAAGCUGACUGACUAGAGUAUGGUAGAGGGUGGUGGAAUUUCCUGUGUAGCGGUGAAAUGCGUAGAUAUAGGAAGGAACACCAGUGGCGAAGGCGACCACCUGGACUAAUACUGACACUGAGGUGCGAAAGCGUGGGGAGCAAACA